rnacentral:rRNA from 1 species
ACAUCGCUCUUGAUAUAGACAUAGAGAGUCGAACCUGCCCAGUGAUAUAUCACAUAUUCAACGGCCGCGGUACUCUGACCGUGCAAAGGUAGCAUAAUCAUUUGCCCUAUAAUUAAGGGCUAGCAUGAAGGGUUUGACAAGGGCACCCCUGUCUCUGCAGAAAUAAUCGGAAUUUAUCCUAUAGGUGAAGAUACCUAAAUACAAUUAAAAGACAAGAAGACCCUAUCGAGCUUAAAAAUCACCUGUGAUAUAAAGAAAAUAAUUAUUAUAUUUCUCUUCACAGAUAAUUUUUUAGUUGGGGCGACUAAGGAACAAAUAAAGCUUCUUUUUACCUAAAAUCAUUAUUUAGAUCCAUACUAAUUAUGAUUAAAAGAAUUAGUUACCGUAGGGAUAACAGCAUAAUCUUUUUUGAGAGUUCUUAUCGAAAAAAAGGUUUGUGACCUCGAUGUUGGACUAGAAUAUCCUGAUAGGUGUAGAAGCCUUCAAGGGUUGGUCUGUCGACCAUUAAAUCUACGUGAU